rnacentral:rRNA from 1 species
UACGGAGGGUGCAAGCGUUAUUCGGAAUUACUGGGCGUAAAGCGCGCGUAGGUGGUUCGUUAAGUUGGAUGUGAAAUCCCCGGGCUCGACCUGGGAACUGCAUUCAAAACUGUCGAGCUAGAGUAUGGUAGAGGGUGGUGGAAUUUCCUGUGUAGCGGUGAAAUGCGUAGAUAUAGGAAGGAACACCAGUGGCGAAGGCGACCACCUGGACUGAUACUGACACUGAGGUGCGAAAGCGUGGGGAGCAAACAGG